CGCCUCACCCAGCCCCUCCUCCGCGACCCUCCCCCUCCUCACCUCCCCUCGCGCGUGUCGGCGCCGCCGCCGCCGCCGUCGCAUCUGCCGGCGGCGGCCCUAGCCUCCUCCCCGACGGAUCUGCCGACUCGAAGGAGAGAGAAGCGAGUCACCGCCGCCUCUUCUUCUCUUUCAUAGUUUUAUCUCCGCCUCACCACCGCCUCACCGCCUCUUCCCUCACGCAUGCCGCCGUCGCAAUCUCACACUCCUCCAACCCUCAACGAAGCGCUUCCGCCACAGCCCUCAAUUUUCGUCGCCGCAUCUGCUAGCAAAGAUCCAGGCGCCUGGAGAAGAGGAACACGAGCUACCACCACCUUCUUCCCUUCAUCUGCCAGUGAGGAUGGUCGCAUCUUGGUGAGGAUGGCGGCAACGCGCCGGCGCGUGAGUCCCCCACAGCGUCCUCCAACUUUUUUUCUCUAUAGCGGUGCGCUCCCUCCCCCUCGCAUCAGUAAUUUUCUUUUUCUAUGGCAAUGUAUGCAUGGAAAAUCUCAUCACAUUUACAACAGGUAACUUUCCCCAUCUAAUUUUCUCUCAUCUUGCUGGAUUUUAUUUUUUUGGAUCGAUCCCCCUAUUUUUGUUGCAGCAAUACUGGUUCGAAGCAAGCUCAACUAUUUAAUGGCAAUAUAUUUGUCGGUACUCCACUACAUAGGUUGCUUCGAUUUUAUUUCUACAAGAUGCAGGUAAUAAGUGCGUGUGUUUCUGCUUUUGUUAGUUCAGGCGUACUGCCCAUGUUCAUCCGAUUGCUGUCCUAAUCGUUCGUGCAUUCAUUAUAGUAAUCAAACAGUUGGAGUUAGCAUGUAUGUCUUAAUCUGCUCAAGAAACUUCUUGCAACCCCCAAGUUUUCCCCCAAAUCGAAGUCUGCAGUUGACUGCAUACAAUUUAGAUUCUCUAUUUCUAUUUCAUCGACUUAUACAUCCAUCAACAUUUUGUUUGUUAGAAUGCCCUCUUGAAGUACUGCCCAUGUUCAUCCGAUUGAUGUCCUAAUCGUUCGUGCAUUCAUUAUAGUAAUCAAAUAGUUGGAGUUAGCAUGUAUGUCUUAAUCUGCUCAAGAAACUUCUUGCAACCCCCAAGUUUUCCCCCAAAUCAAAGUCUGCAGUUGACUGCAUACAAUUCAGAUUCUCUAUUUCUAUUUCAUGGACUUAUACAUCCAUCAACAUUUUGUUUGUUAGAAUGCCCUCUUGAUGUUUUGAUAUGGAGGAGUUUUCAGACGGAGAAGAACAAGCUGCUUGGCAGCCCAUACGCAUGUGUGGCUGUGCAAAUGCAGCCUGCGAUGGAGUGCCACAACGAGCUCCGCUAAGUUACUUUGCUAGGCCAUCCUUGCGAUGGCAGCUUGGCGCGGCCAGGGAUUCCAGCAGCCCAUGGUGGUGUUCAAAAUGAGCAGAUGGUUCAUCUCUACCACUUGCAGUCUGAUUCUACAGUAUUUCCUAACCAUGGCUAUGAAUGUUUUUUUAUGAAGAAAAAAUCCCAUGUCAAACAUACCUCAAAUCUCAAGUUACAUAUGACCAGUGUUGAUGUCAUACUGACUCUCAAGUCGAUUUUGACACAUCUUGAAUUGAACCAAUCCAAACAAAUAGAUUUAUUUUUACCUUUCUGCUUUGUCAUGAUUUGGUCGACAUAUUCAGUCCAGAUAUUACAGUGAUAUCUCUGUUCUUCAGCAAAGCGAGAGAAAUCUGCAGCAUGUCUGAAUUGUAAUAAUUGUAUGUACAUGAAAGAUGCAAGUUUAAAUUUAUUUAGUUUUUAUAUAAGGCGGUCAUUUUAGAUCAA